UCAUGAAAUCCAUAAACAAGUCUAUCAAUGGUUUGACAUAAGUUUUGAUAAGUUUGGACGGACAUCCACUCCUCAACAAACUGAGGUUUGCCAAUCCAUUUUCAAGAAACUAUUGGAGAACAACUGGCUUACUGAGAAUACAAUGCAGCAGCCUUACUGUGAUACAUGCAAAAAGUUUUUAGCUGACCGCCUUGUAGAGGGUACCUGUCCAACACCAGGUUGUAACUAUGAUUCUGCACGAGGAGAUCAAUGUGAAAAGUGCGGGAAGCUUUUAAAUCCUACA